GACGAACGCUGGCGGCGUGCUUAACACAUGCAAGUCGAACGGAAAGGCCCUGCUUUUGUGGGGUGCUCGAGUGGCGAACGGGUGAGUAACACGUGAGUAACCUGCCCUUGACUUUCGGAUAAAUUCAGGAAACUGGGGCUAAUACCGGAUAGGAGCUCCUGCUGCAUGGUGGGGGUUGGAAAGUUUCGGCGGUUGGGGAUGGACUCGCGGCGUAUCAGCUUGUUGGUCGGGUAGUGGCUUACCAAGGCUUGGACGGGUACCCGGCCUGGUAGGGUGGUCGGCGGCCCGGGAAGUGGACCAGGCACAAUGGGACUGAGAGACGGAGCAGACGGCAACGGGAGGCAGCGGGCGAGAGUUUGGCGGAGUAGGGGGGCGUCUGAUGCGGAGAUGUCGGGUGCGGGAAGCUGGCUUACGGGGUGUAAACCACUUUGGCCGGAAACGAGCAGUGAGUGACGGUAAUGGGUCAGGAAGCACCGGCUAACUACGUG
rnacentral:rRNA from 1 species